rnacentral:RNase_P_RNA from 1 species
ACCACCAGCCGGACGGUCGCGAGUGCUCGUCACUCGAGGAAAGUCCGGGCUCCAAGGACAGGCUGCCAGGUAACGCCUGGGCGCUUCAUGCGGCAACGCAUGGGGUGACGGAAAGUGCCGCAGAAAAUACACCGCCGAUGGCCGCGCAAGCGGAUCAGGCAAGGGUGAAAAGGUGCGGUAAGAGCGCACCGCGCCGCUGGCAACAGCGGUGGCAGGGCAAACCCCAGCUGGAGCAAGGCCAAAUAGGCAGCGAGGGUCGUCCGCCCGACAAAGACGCUGCGGGUAGGCUGCUGGAGCGCAUGGGCGACCGUGCGCCUAGAGAAAUGACCGUCCCGGGAGCAAUCCCGGACAGGACCCGGCUUACAGGCUGGUGGUGGUU